rnacentral:rRNA from 1 species
ACAAUGGAGAGUUUGAUCCUGGCUCAGGAUGAACGCUAGCGGCAGGCUUAACACAUGCAAGUCGAGGGGCA